rnacentral:rRNA from 1 species
GGAAUUGCUAGUAAUGGCAGGUCAGCAUACUGCCGUGAAUACGUUCCCGGGCCUUGUACACACCGCCCGUCACACCAUGGGAGUUGGAAAUACCCGAAGCCUGUGAGCUAACUUAAAGAGGCAGCAGUCGAAGGUAGAGCCAAUGAUUGGGGUGAAGUCGUAACAAGGUAUC